rnacentral:rRNA from 1 species
UACGGAGGGUGCAAGCGUUGUCCGGAUUUAUUGGGUUUAAAGGGUGCGUAGGCGGCUUUUUAAGUCAGUGGUGAAAGACAACAGCUCAACUGUUGCAGUGCCAUUGAUACUGAAGAGCUUGAGUACAGAUGAGGUAGGCGGAAUUUAUGGUGUAGCGGUGAAAUGCAUAGAUACCAUAAAGAACACCUAUGCGAAGGCAGCUUACUAGCUGUA